AAGGCUAAUUACGAUAGUUUUCGCACAGCUAGUGCUACUGGUGCAACGGUCGUGGUUGCAUUGCCAGAAUGUCAUCUGGCGGACCAUAGACAUACGUGUAUUAAUGCGAAUUAGGUGUCGCUACUUUGACCGUCGAAAGAGAAUGCACAAGGGAAAAAAAUAUGCUAUUCCACGGUACUGCGGCAGUAAGAACUCACCAACUAAAGAGCGUCUCCCACUAAGCUUCGAUGAACUCGAGAAGUUCGCAUGUUUAACGUUUUGUUGUUGCUUAUUUCGUUUCCAGAGGCCUGGUGUUGGCCUGUGUAUUACUUCUUCUUGCAAUGGUUAUCCUCGUCAUCGCCGCAAGAACCUGGAUGCUCUUCAAGCAAGAUUCAGGAGACAUCCAUCAUCGAGUCCCAUCGACGACGCCAAAUGUCAUACAUGGCACAUCCAAUACAACGCAGGAUACGACGACGCCAAAAC